AUUCUCCUCCCUCCGUUUUACAAUACAUGCCUUCUAUUUGUCAAAAUAUAUAUGUAUCUAGACAUGUUUUAGUAUAUAUGUACAUCCAUUUUUGGACAAAUGGAAGUCAAGUAUUUUGGAACGGAGGGAGUACACA
rnacentral:pre_miRNA from 1 species